AGUUUAAAGAAACUAUUUUAAAUGAAUCCUGCCCAGUGUNAGAUUAUAAAUGGCCGCAGUACCUUGACUGUGCAAAGGUAGCAUAAUCAAUUGGCUUUUAAUUGAAGUCUGGAAUGAAUGGAAUUUUGAAAAAAUUCUGUCUUAAAAAUAUUUAAUUGAAUUUAAUUAUUAGGUGAAAAUACCUAUAUUAAAGAAAAAAGACGAGAAGACCCUUAGAAUUUUAAUAAUAUUAUAUUUAUUAAAUUUAUUUUUGUUGGGGCGACAAUUAAACAUAUUUAAACUUUAAUUUAAUUCAUAACGAAAUUUGUUAUAUAAGAAUAAAUUACCUUAGGGAUAACAGCAUAAUUUUUUAAAAAGUUUGUGACCUCGAUGUUGGACUAGGAACUUGAUGGCUAGCAGUCAAUAUAGAUUUGUUCUGUUCGAACAAUUUAAUCCU
rnacentral:rRNA from 1 species